rnacentral:rRNA from 1 species
GGASSGUGCAAGCGUUAUCCGGAUUCACUGGGUUUAAAGGGUGCGUAGGUGGGCAGGUAAGUCAGUGGUGAAAUCUUUGGGCUUAACCCGAAAACUGCCAUUGAUACUAUUUGUCUUGAAUAUUGUGGAGGUCAGCGGAAUAUGUCAUGUAGCGGUGAAAUGCUUAGAUAUGACAUAGAACACCAAUUGCGAAGGCAGCUGGCUACACAUAUAUUGACACUGAUGCACGAAAGCGUGGGGAUCAAACAGGAUUAGAUACCCUGGUAGUCCACGCCCUAAACGAUGGAUACUCGACAUACGCGAUAUACUGUGUGUGUCUGAGCGAAAGCAUUAAGUAUCCCACCUGGGAAGUACGAUCGCAAGAUUG